rnacentral:rRNA from 1 species
UACAGAGGUCCCGAGCGUUGUUCGGAUUCAUUGGGCGUAAAGGGUGCGUAGGCGGCGGGGCAAGUCUGAUGUGAAAUCCCGGGGCUCAACCCCGGAACUGCAUUGGAUACUGCCUUGCUAGAGUACUGGAGAGGGAACUGGAAUUUACGGUGUAGCAGUGAAAUGCGUAGAGAUCGUAAGGAAUACCGGUGGCGAAGGCGGCAUCCUGGACCGACAUUGACGCUGAUGAGCGAAAGCUAGGGGAGCAAACGGG